UAUGCGACCGGCGCACGGGUGAGUAACACGUAUCCAACCUGCCGAUGACUCGGGGAUAGCCUUUCGAAAGAAAGAUUAAUACCCGAUGGCAUAGUUCUUCCGCAUGGUAGAACUAUUAAAGAAUUUCGGUCAUCGAUGGGGAUGCGUUCCAUUAGCUUGUUGGCGGGGUAACGGCCCACCAAGGCAUCGAUGGAUAGGGGUUCUGAGAGGAAGGUCCCCCACAUUGGAACUGAGACACGGUCCAAACUCCUACGGGAGGCAGCAG
rnacentral:rRNA from 1 species